rnacentral:tRNA from 1 species
CGAUCGCGGUGCGGAGGCCGGCGAGCGCGCCCUUCGACGGAGCGGGAGCCUCGUCGUUCGACUCCUCGACGAUCGGC